rnacentral:rRNA from 1 species
AGCAGCCGCGGUAAUUCCAGCUCCAAUAGCGUAUAUUAAAGUUGUUGCAGUUAAAAAGCUCGUAGUUGAAUUUCGGGAUCAAUUUAUCGGUCGUGCCUAUGGUAUGAACUGGUACAAUUGGUUUCUCCCUUCUGACGAAGCAUGAUGUCAUUAAUUUGGUGUCGUGGGGAAUCAGGACUGUUACUUUGAAGAAAUUAGAGUGUUUAAAGCAAGCAUUAGCUUGAAUACAUUAGCAUGGAAUAAUGAAAUAGGACGUUUGAUCCUAUUUCGUUGGUUUCUAGGAUCGACGUAAUGAUUAAUAGGGAUAGUUGGGGGCAUUAGUAUUCAAUUGUCAGAGGUGAAAUUCUUGGAUUUAUUGAAGACUAACUACUGCGAAAGCAUUUGCCAAGGAUGUUUUCAUUAAUCAAGAACGAAAGUUAGGGGAUCGAAGACGAUCAGAUACCGUCGUAGUCUUAACCAUAAACUAUGCCGACUAGGGAUCGGAUGAUGUUAAUUUUUUAAUGACUCA